GGGGAAUUAGCUCAAGUGCUAGAGCGCUCGCUUAGCAUGGGAGAGGUACAGGGAUCGAUACCCUUAUUCUCCA
rnacentral:tRNA from 1 species